CGUCUCUCUCUUUACUCAUCUCUUUAGUCUAGAUCUGCUCUGCAAAACUUCAGAGAUUAAAUCAUGCCAAACUUCAGAGAUUAAUCUGCUCAGCCUAAAACUGCUUCUCUUAAUUCUUUGAUAGAAGCACGUACUAAUCUGGGAUUUAGGUCAUCUUUCUUUUAUGAUGCUGCAGCUGCUUUUCUAAUCACCAUAAGUCAGGUUACUAUGGCAGCAGUGGUGGAAGAUGAAAAUGGACUUCCGAUUUCUCCCAAUACAACUAAGCUCCACCACCAGAAGGGCGUUUUGAUUCGUACUCAUAUCCCUGUCUCCUACAAAACUUGGAGGGAUGUGCCGGAUAAAUACAAAGAUGAUGUCUGGACUGAAUUACAGGUAAAUACUUACCUCAAUAUGAUUUAUGUCAAACUUUUGUUUACUUUUUUGAGUCAGUAAGCCAUCAGAAUUGAACACUUUUUUUUCUUUUCAUAUAUCAUAUCUAUUACCGGAUACUUCUAAGAUAAAUCUGAUAAACUGCUAUAUGGAGGAGAUUUAAGCAUGAGUUGAGAAGAGACUAUUAUGAUCCAUAGGACACCUAUGAAGAAAGGAUUGCUCAUAUUCCUCCAACUGUAACAGAAGAGAACUGGAUACUAUUCUGUAACAAUGAGAAAGAAGAAGCCCAAUAGAAAAGUAGAGAAGAACAUAAAAAGAAAAGUAAAAUCUGCAUCCGAUAUGGUUAGAAGGGUAUAUCUGCACCCGAUAUGAUUAUAAGGGUCUAUCUGUCUUUGUGGAAAUGAUGAAUUCUUCAGGGAUAUCUCAUCCAUCAUCAUAUGACUUUUAUCUUUUUUGUUAAUAUCUCCACAUCAUCCUAUGACUUUCAUUUUUUUUUGCUAAUGUUCACACUUUUGGAUGUAUGUUGAACAUGAUGGCAUGUACCCAUAUGCUUUUCUGCAUAUGCAAAAACUCUGAUGCAAUUGUGUUCAAGGCAGACUCUUAUGCAAACUCUGAUGCAAUUCUGCUAAGUAUGGUAACGAAGAUGUAAUAUUAUUUUGUGUGUGUGGUUUUUGUUGGUGUAUGUGGUUUUUGUAGGUGUAUAUGUUUGCAGUUGUGCAGGUUAGGUAUGCUGAAGCGAAUGUAGCCACCUGGGGAAUGUCAAUCCCUGGUAAAUAUCCUAUUUGACACUUUCUUGCGAGGUACUAUGCUUAAUGAUCAAAUUGUUGUGGGAUUAUGGUGUUGGUGACCUUGGCAUUUCAUCUGCACGAGUUUGGUGACUUCCUUCUAUCAGGAUCCUACAACUAUGGCCAAAAUCUUCCACCAAAUGUGAUAAAUCAACUUGCAAAGGAAUUGAAGAAUCUCGAUGAAAUACCUCCAGAGGGCAUUAAGGUGGUCAUCAAUGAUGAUGACUUUUCCACCAUAUUUGCAUAUAUUGAAGGACCUCAGGUGGUCAAAUGCUUACUGAUAGAACCAUUUCCAGAAUCAUCUUUGAAUGAACAUUCUGGUAAAAUGUUGCUUGAAGAUUAUGAAGAGUAUGUCAGGCUAGCCGGGCCGUUACUGAAAGUAUUCCACUGAAGCAGUCAAAUUCGACUUUUUCAAACUCACAGGUUGUCAUAUAGCCGGAGAAGUUGAACUCAAGAUUGAUGUCAUCUAACCAUGCUGGCGAACUGAAGAUGGACAAGUGAGAGUUCCUUUUAUACAUAGUUUAUAUGUUGUAGAACUACUUCUGAAACCUUGAAAGUUAAUGACUUAAAUAUCAUACAGCCUAAGUAUCACUGAAAUUCCUCCAUUUCUUUUGUUUAGUCUAUAUGAUAAACAUAGUGAUUGGAAAUGUUUUCUUCCAUUUAUUUUGUGUAAUGUCUUUGAUGGUUAAAAUAUUGCAUGUUUGUAGAAUGAAUUGGAUUGAAUGGAAUAACUCCAGGGAAA